UAUUUAUAUGUUGUGUUACGCUAAAGGAUGAUAUGGAAUACUUCCUUAGAUUUCUCACCCCCAUUGCUAAGGAAAGCCUAAAAAAUCCAAAAGCCAACCCACUACAUUCUAUCAUGAGCUCCUUCCUUCAGAUGAUGGAGCAGAUGGAGGACAAUUAAGGGAGGAGCAGUUGUCACAGGAGCAACACUGUGCAACCAGUUCUAAGACAACAGCCAUGUUACUGAAACAGACCACUGCUGGAGUAUGCCUGCAAAGUCAGGACCAAAGGAUUCCCAGUGCCCAUUGGAGUGCGAUACCUUGCUGCAGGAAUUGAAUUCCUCAUAAAAGCAGGUGCACAAAAGAACUAGCAACAUUCCUUUUUUGGCCAGCUCCCCUUACUUGUGCUGGCUGCGGGCCACACAGGAAAUUCUCUUGUCAGGAACUCCCUCCCACAAAUCCAGACAUGCAGAAGCUCAGCACAGGAAGUCAGGCUGUCAUGGCUCCAGGCAUUGUUAAUCAUUUUUAAAUGAUCAUUAAAAGGCGGCAGCAGCAGCAGCAAAAGGAUGCGGCUCUGGUGAGGAGUCAGCCCAACUCAGUGACUUUCAAGAGAGUUAGAGACAUGUACAGACAGGAGAGCCUUUCCAGGUACUGUAAAUGAGCAAGCUAGAGAUCUCACGUUGAAGAGAUAAUGAAGGAAAAAAGCAACAGGAAAGAGAGAAGGAUGUAAAUACAAAGAAAACAGUCAAGUAACUUCAAAGAAUGUUCUAGAAUUAUAUAUAUGUUGGCCCAACAUAUGUUUUCUUUAUUCAAAAUCUGAAAUUGUUGCUCUUGGAUAAAAAAAUUCAGAGAGUGUGGAUGAAGUGAAACAUUAGGUGAUCUCCAUUAAGGUCAUUAAGCAUUAAGGCCAAAAUAGAGUGAAAGCAGUUGCAGGAUUUGGAGUUACAUGUGCAAGAACUUCAGUCACCAUAUUUUGAUUAGUCAAACUAUGCUUUCCACCAUUUCUAAACACAGGCAGUACUUUUCUCUGCAUGCCAGACAUCUACUUUAUAGAAUCCCAUUAGUCCAUCAAAGCAGAUUAUUAAUUUAUGGGCACUAUAGUUUUAUGGAAGCAUCUGAUAUAGGAAGCUAAUUUCCUUAGCUGUCCUAUUUCAGUCUUAAUGUGUUUCUUCUGCAGUGUAAAGGAGAAAAAAAAAGUGCAUAUUUGAACUUAAUAAAAUACCAUUUAAGGACAGAAGAAACAUUUGUAAUGUGAUUGCACUUGUGGGAGCACCACCUUCUCCACAGAAAUAGUAAUUUCUGUGAACAAUAAUACUGUGAAUUAUUUCCUUAAUACAUUUAUUUCUAUCUGACAUCUAUUGAUUGAGGAAACGGGUUACACAACUAAGGACAUAGAGGCCUGGCCAAGUUUAAAAAAUUUUUUCCAAGUGUUGAUACUGUUGGUAUUUCAGAACUGCUCCCAACUGUUUUAAAACCAGAACCAUUCAAGGUAUUUUAUGACAGGACAUAAGGGUGGUAUGACAGGAAGGAGAUCAAAAGCAGAGUAGAUUUUUCCUAGACACAGCAUUUGCUCUCCAGUCUCUACAGAACUGCUUUCCCAUCCCUAUCUGUACCUACCUCCCUUGAACAUCACCGUGGAAAUUGGAAUUUCACCCCAAUUUAGCAAGUGGUUGAUAGACACCAUUGUAACCCUCCAGAGUGCCAGAGAAGUGUUUUGAAGACACAAAGUCUGAAUUUCCAGACAGAAAACACAGUAUGUGUUUGCCCUUCUGAUUCAUACAUUCAGUUGAGACUGUGAGAAUACCUCUGCAGGGUAAGGAAUGAAAGACUGCUUUGUUCCAUCAUCCUCUUUCCCAGCCACCUGCAGGACAUCCCGACAUCACUGUCACAGGCUUCCCAGCACAGGAUGUGAGCACGUGCCUGGUACCACUAUUUGGUUUUUCAGCUGAUGCUUCUUCAUCCGCAGCAGUGGAGGUCUGCAAGCACAGGUCUCUCUCUCUUUCUCACUAAAAGUGUGUCACAAGGCACACUUCUGGGAUCUGCAGAUCCAGCCUCCCUUCACACCUUAUACUCCUUUUAUCCCUUCACUGUUCAGCAUGUUUGUCUUCUUUUCCUUCCCGCUUUAUCACAUACACUGAAAGCCAGCAACGGUUCAGAUAAUGAGACACUAACUCCAGAUGGUCUGGGCCAGCCUUGCUCACUUUUUCUUUAAGCUGUUUCACACAUUUUAUAAACUUUUCAUACAUUUUCAUUUCUGUUGAAAACAGAGUUCCUUGAGGUUACUGUUGGCUCUGGUAAUUCAUCAGCAUAAGCUUAGCAAGAGAGGGACUCUGGGUGUCUCUACAGGGUCAAUUCCAAACUAAGUAUAAUGCCUUUGAAAGUAAAUAAAUGCUAGUUUUCUAAAAUGUAUUUGCAAAAUGAAGGUUGAGUAGUAUAAAGUAAGAGGAAGUUUAUCCAUGACCCUAGUAUAUCCCUGCUCAUUAACUGGUACAUUACAAACUUGCUAUGACAUAUAAUCCCUCCCUUUUUACCCUUUGUAUGCUUUGUAAAAAGUAAAAAAAAAAAAAAGUA